UCAGAAUUACUUUUUUUCCAAAACAUGGACAAUUCAGGUUCAGCCAUGUAUUUGUUUCUAUAACAGGAAUGCCUGCAAUUUAUCAAAUAAAGAUGCCAUCAGUGAUCUUCAGUUGAUGCAGAUCAGUACAACUCCAUUGAAGUUCUGGGAGUUCACGUCGGGAAAGAAAGGGCGCUGCUUAUUUUGGCUUGUCCCAUAGCUACAACAGAGCUGAGAUUUCUAAAUUGUUGCACCACAGGAGACCAGACAACUUCAAGCUACUACUGUUAGUUUUUCUUGUGAAAUCUAAACCUGCUUAAUAAUAUUCCCCUUGAUAUUUAACUUCUGGAGACACUGUGUCUGAGGUCACCAGCUGAAGAGUCAAGUGUAAGGACAAUUUUUCUUUGUUACCUUGGGACUUCCAUUUUCAGCAUUUCAGCCUCUAAUAACAAAGUAAAUAUUUUCAAUACCAGUAGUCAAGAAGGUUUAAAACUUUCAGUAAAGCCCACUUAAACUUCCAGUAAAUACCAUUUCAAGUGAGAGAUGAUGUUUUAAAUUCUUUCUUAUUUUAUUUGCACCAACUGUCCCUAGCUUACCAUCAGCUAGAGCUUGCUAAAACUUGCAGCUGGUAUCCUUUGAAAACUUCUCAGAAAGCAGAGUAAAGCUUUCCAAGGGGUCCCCCGAACACCUGCUAAUUUAAAAGCACAUAAUGAUAUAUUGUUAAUGGAUUACUUCCUGUAGCAAUAACACUUCUCACUCUUUUUUUGUUUGUUUGUUUGGGGGUUUCUUUGUUUUUGUUUCCAAACAGUGCGACAUGAUGGCUGACAACAAACAUCACACUCUGAAGUCGCUUAAUAGCAGUCACCUCCUACCAGAAGAGACCGAGCAGCAGACAUCAAAAGUGGAGAAAAGUCAAAAAGAAAUGCAAGAGUCAUUUGUGUUCUGUUUCACCCCAAGCGCUAAGAAGAAGAUGCUCCUUUAGAAGAGGCAGGAGCAUAAGCUGAAAAUAUUCUUAUGCUAUCCCCACCAUUGAAUGAAUUUCCACUGUCCUUCCCACACCAAGAGCACCCAUAGGACCAGGGGCUGAGGAGCAUCCCUGAAUCCAGCAGGGCCAAGAUGGGGUCGCUGCUGGUCUCAGGAGCCCCAGCCAAAUCCUAUGAAUCCAGCUCCAGUGGCAGACUGGUUAGAAGGUGAGGCUGAAAGAGCUCAGUGCUGCAGCAUUCAACAUUGACCAAAGGGUCCUUCCUGAGGCUGGAACUUGCUAGAGCUGUCUGCAGUGUUACUCUGUAGUGUCAGACCGCAUUCCCUUCUGGAACGAGGACAGCUCGAUCCUUCAGUUACAAAGCUGCUACUGAUGACCUGUUGGAGAUUAACUCUGCCAGUACAUAGACUGCCCAGUGCUGGAGACUGCUGUUACUUCAAAUCCUAGAGCAGGGUGACUGACUGCAUUUUCUCGCAAUGAAAACUAAGAUGCUGUUUCCUUAAGGACAGGGAGAUCUGAACUCCUCAUUACAUGCAGCAAACUGAGAGAGCUAAAGACACACAGGAUUCAUCAAAAGAAAUGUAUCAUGGCCAGUCAGUACAGUCAGAUGAUUAUGUGACAUUUUAUAUAUCAGUAAACCUUGAUGCCCAGUGGUAUUAAUGGCUGCUCUUUCUAGGUCUGUUCUCUCUAGGGAAUGGCAACCAGCCACGAGGUGUCCGAUUUUUACUCACAGGUAAGGAUCCACAUGUUGUCAUCCUUUCUGCUUUGUGGGAGGGGGAACGGGGCAGAGGGGGAGCUGCUCAACUCAGUUGGUUAAUGUGGGAUGCUACAGGCAGCUGGCUUGAAGCACAGACCUUGCCAUGGAGCUCCAAAAAAUUCCUUUUUGGUUGUGUACGCAGAGGGAGAAACCCUUGCCAAGAGGGCACUGGCAGAUCUGUGGGUCCCUUAUUAUCCUAGGAGUGAUGAACUGAUUCCAGAUACUCCAAGUCCUACUGGCCUGGUGCCAAAAGAGCAGCAAACUCAAAUCCUUUCCUCCCAAUACGGGUUGUGGUUUCCUUUCUUCAAGAUUCUGUGAAAUGAACAACUGUUUUUGUCAACCCACUGCAGCCAUCUCAGUCGGUGCCUCCCUGUUGCCCUUGAGACUGCCAGGGCUUGCCCAACCUGCAGGACAGAACUAACUUAUGAUGACUAUCAUCCAGUUUACACGAGUACUUCUGUUUCUGAAAUACAGACUCAGAUGGAUUUGGAGAGUUAGGUCUUAGAGGGACUUUUUUCUUCAUGUAUAUAGUUCUUGUUGUUUACAAUUCCAUUUUUCCUGAAUUUAGUUAUAAAUAAAGUCUUAAUUGAUUUAAA